GAUGAACGCUAGCGGCAGGCUUAACACAUGCAAGUCGAGGGGUAGAGGAAGCUUGCUUCCUUGAGACCGGCGCACGGGUGCGUAACGCGUAUGCAACCUACCUUUUACAGAGGGAUAGCCCAGAGAAAUUUGGAUUAAUACCUCAUGGUAUAUAUCAUUCGCAUGUUUGAUAUAUUAAAGUUCCAACGGUAAAAGAUGGGCAUGCGUCCUAUUAGCUAGAUGGUAAGGUAACGGCUUACCAUGGCAACGAUAGGUAGGGGUCCUGAGAGGGAGAUCCCCCACACUGGUACUGAGACACGGACCAGACUCCUACGGGAGGCAGCAGUGAGGAAUAUUGGACAAUGGGCGGCAAGCCUGAUCCAGCCAUGCCGCGUGCAGGAAGAAGCAUCUAUGGUGUGUAAACUGCUUUUGUACGGGAAGAAACACUCCUUCGUGAAGGAGCUUGACGGUACCGUAAGAAUAAGGAUCGGCUAACUCCGUGCCAGCAG
rnacentral:rRNA from 1 species